UGAAAGCAAUAUAGUCUCUCAAAUUACGAAAAAUGUCAAAAGGUUCUUACAAUUGAAAAUAAAAUAGUAUUUAUACUAGGUCUAAAAAACUAGGUAAAAACGUGCAUAAUAUUUCAAAUAUGGCAAGAAAUCUACUAAGUAUCAAAUUCUAUCAAAAAUAGAAAAUUCGCAAUUAAAAUAAAAAAAAUUGCGUCAAAUUUUAACAAUGCGGUUGCAUGGUGUAAAAUCAUGCGGCCACAUGGAACAUUCGAAAAUCUCGAAUAAUUCCCUGCCUCACUCCGUGCGACCGUAGGACGGUUUUGAGCAUGCGGUCGCAUGGUUCUUCUCUCCAGCUCCAUCUUCAGCUGCUUGGAUCGUGUUGGUCCAAUUGGUUUCGGUCUUUGACCCGAACACGAAACUUGUCCCAUUUUGAGUCCUGAACAUGAUUUCAUUGAUGGUUGUCUUGACGAGUAAUCCUAUCGCCUCUUUCACUUGCUUUGUCCUUGCUCGUGUCAUAGGUCCACCUUCGACUUUCAACGGAUCUUUCCCCGGGCUUGACGUUGGACUUGAUUUGGUUGCUUGCGGCUCCUAGAUCACAUCAUCCCCUCUCUCUUCGAAAGGAUUCGUCCUCAAAUCUGAACUUGCAGCAAAGAGAAAAAGAUCAGAUAUAUUAGAAGUUGCCGAAACGUUAUACUCACCUGGACGAUCCAAUUUGUAUGCAUUGUAAUUAAUCUUCUCAACUACUUGAAACGGUCCAUCUCCCCGUGGUAACAACUUUGAUUUUCUUUGCUCUGGGAACAGCUCUUUUCUGAAGUGCAUCCAAACCCAAUCUCCUAGUUCGAAUGCGAACAUUUUUCGUGCCCUUAUUUGCUUGCUCCGCAUAGGGCUUGCUUUUCUUCUCAAUUUGUUCCCGUACCUUUUCAUGGAGUGACUUCACCAACUCGGCCUUUUCUUUUUCUAUCCAAGCUACCUCGUUCAUUAAUAGGAAAAGGUAUUAAAUCCAUAUGUAUUAUAGGAUUAAAAUCGUAAACAAUUUCAAAAGGAGAAAACGACGUGGCGGAGUGUGUGGCCCUAUUAUAUGCAAAUUCGAUGAAAGGUAAGCACUCUUCCCAAUUCUUCAUUUUUUUAUUAACUACGGUGUGCAAAAGUUGUGUCAUAGUCCUAUUCACUACUUUAGUUUGGCCAUCUGUUUGUGGAUGAGAAGUUGUAGAAAAUAGUAGUUUCGUGCCUAACUUACUCCGCAAGACUCUCCAGAAGUGACUAAGGAACUUAAUAUCCGUAGCUGACACUAUGCUUUUAGGUACCCCAUGCAAGUGCACAAUUUCUUUAAAGAACAAAUCUUCAAUGUUAGUGGCAUCAUCAGUUUUGUGACAUGGAAUAAAAUGUGUCAUUUUACUAAACCUAUCCACCACUACAAAAAUUGAAUCUUGCCCCUUUUUAGUCCUAGGCAAAUCUAACACAAGGUCCAUUGAAAUAUCUACCCAGGAUUCACUAGGUACUGACAAAGGUGUAUACAGUCCAUGAGAUAAGACCCUAGAUUUGCCCUAUCUAAAUUUUAUGCAUCGACUACAAACCCUUCCUGCAUCAACUUUCAUUUUAGGCCAAUAGAAAUAUUCAGUCAAUAUCUCUAAAGUUUUUACUACCCUAAAGUGACCUAUAAGUCCCCCACUAUAUGCUUCUCUAACCAAUAGUUCAUGCAUAGAGCAAUUAGGAAAGCAUAAUUUACUCUCCCGAAAUACGUAUCUCUCAUGCUUAAAGAACUUAUCUAUAGCCCCAUUGUCACAUGAAUUGUAAAUGUCGAAAAAAUUAGAAUCAGUAACAUACAUAUCCUUAAUAUACUCAAAACCAAGCAAUUUUGCAUCUAAAGUAGUUAGAAGCACAUACCUGCAUGACAAUGCAUCUGCUACUACAUUUUCCUUAUCUUGUUUGUAACGGAUGACAUAUGAAAAAAGUUUCGAUGAAUUCCAUCCAGUGUGCAUGUCGUUUGUUCAACUUACCUUGACCCCGCAAAUGUUUCAGUGAUUCAUGAUCUAAAUGAAUUACAAACUCUUUCGGCCAUAGGUAAUGCUGCCAUGUUUCCAAAGCUCGAAUAAGUGAAUAGAGUUCCUUGUCGUAUGUAGGAUAAUUGUGAGCCGCACCACUUAGCUUUUCACUAAAGUAUGCUAUAGGUCUCUUAUCCUGCAUUAAGAUUGCUCCUAUAUCUAUUCCUGAUGCAUCAUGCUCAAUCUUGAAAGUUUUGUCAAAGUUAGGAAGUGCUAAAAUUGGUGCUUUACACAAACAAUCUUUGAUAGUGUUGAAUGCAUGUUCUUGCUCUAACUCCCAAUGAAAUCCUAUAUUUUUCUUGACAAUUUCAGUUAAGGGUGUGGUAAUUGUGCUAAAAUCUCUAACAAAACGCCUAUAAAAACUAGUCAAUCCAUGAAAACUUCGAACCUCGGUUAUGUUCUUAGGUGUUGGCCAAUCCUUAAUAGCUUUUAUUUUCUCUUCAUCUACCUCUACACCAUUAACACUAACCAAAAAGCUUAAGAAUACAACCUAUCCAUGCAAAAUGUAUACUUUUUAAAAUUGGCAAAAAGUUGUUCCUUUCUUAAAAUCGCAAGCACACAUUUUAGAUGUUCCACACGCUCAUCAAGACUCUUGCUGUAACGCCCCGAAUUCUUUAGCAACCCGGAACGUUACCAAACGUGAAUUGAUUAAUAAAGUGCUUGAGGCAAAUACAUUUUAAUAUAACGAGGAAUUCAGUAAAAAUUGAACAACCUUAACAAAAGGUAAAUUAAAUUAAAUAACAUAUGCGGAACAAUUUGGAAUCAUAUCUUUUAUCAAACAUUAAUAAAAGUAGUUCUAACAAAUAAUAAAAAUAGGACUAAUUGAAAGUUAUGACGUGACUCACAAUUGAGUCUAAAUUUAAAAAUAAUAAUAAUCAACUGUUAAUAAAUAUUCUAGUGUUUUUAAAAAUUAAAGUACUUCAUGAUGGAGAUCCAUUGGUCCAAUAUGCAUCCAUCCACCGCCGUCCAGCAUACUAAUUUCUACCUGAAAAUUUUAAAUAGAGAGGGAUGAGUAUAACGAAUUAUACUCAAUGAGAUACUUGCUACUCCACAUUCAAAUCAAACGUGAAAUUAUGCAUAAAUUCUCUUACCAACAUAACAUGAGAAUUAUCACACCAUGACAAAUGAUAAUUCAAGCAAGCGCUGCAAAUAACGUGAAGGCUAAAUUGUGCCUUAAACUGUAUCAUGAUUUCUCCCAAAGGAGCUCUGAACUGGAGUAAUUAAAUCCAUACAUAACAACGUAUUUGAAAAGAUGUGGACAAACCACUAAUAGCACUGAGUAUCUCACCUUUUGAAGAUGAACGUGAAAAAUAAAAUUGCUGAAAACGUGAUUCUUUAUUGCGAUUCCAAGGCCUUAAAAAGGCUUAAUAAUAUGGAGAAAUAUUUUAAAGAGGAGAAGAGAAUAAAGACGUGCAGAAGAAGAAUGAUGAAUUAAUGACUGAAUGCUUGAGGUUUAGUGCUAUAUUUAUACUAAACCAUGGUGUAGGGUAAUCACGUGGGAAGUGGAAUUUUGCUAAGAUUUGAACUCUAAAUUUCCAUGCACAUCACAUAAGUUAGUUUAGAAUUCUGAUCCCAUAAAUUAGUUUGAAAUUCUGAUUGGUGGUUUCUUAUGGGAUUCUGCCGAGUUUUAUAUCAGAUAAGGAAAGGAUAAAGAUAAAGAGGCUGCAUGACCUUUACACACGUGGACAGAUCUUCUAUUUUGAUGAAUCUGAUUGUUUAUUGGUUUUGAUAAGUUCAAAAAUCAGCUACAAUUAUAAUAAGGAAAAGGACAAAGAGGAGUGAAUCUGAUUGUUUGCUGCUUGAAUUCACACGUGGGCUGGGAAACCAAAUUGGCCUCCUAUUUGCACAUUUUAAUAAAAUAAAUAACUAGUUAAUCUCCUGUUUUGAUCAAAAUAAAUGGAAGAGUGUGUCAAAUGAAAUUUCUAUACAACUUAACUAGUUUAAUUAAUUAAAGUCCUAACUAUUCUAAUACAAUAAUUAUUAGAAGACUUUAUCAUAAUCCAAAUCCUAUAUGAUUAAGAAUAAUAAUUUCUAUCUUAAUUAAAGUAGAUUAGUAUUACAAGUAACCAAUAAUUUAUUAUAAUAAAGAGACUUUAUCCUUUGCACACGUAAACACUAGGAUAAAUUUAGUUUCCUUAUUAUAUUUGUUAAACAACUUAAAUGGAUAACUAAUAAUCUCCUAAUGGCCGAAACAAACUAUUUGCAUACUAAAUAAAUUAGAAUUUCAUUUAUACCUUGAUUCUUCCAUUGAUUCCAUCUUAAUUCAACUUAUUCAAAAUAUCAUUUUCUUAAUCCUUAUAUAUAUAUAUUUAAUUAUUAUCUAUCAAAGGAGUCCAAUAUUGAUAUAGUAAUUUAGCACGAAUUAAUAACUAAUAUUAUUAACUAAGUAGUUUUCUUAAUUGGCUAUAACUCAAGUUUAACGAAUCCAAAUUGAAUUUUUCUUGAGUCCAUAAUUCAUCAUUUAUUACGAGUUUCAAAAUGAGCCCAAUAUUGAUAGGGUAAUUCUAACUCCUUCAAUAAUUAACUAUUCGGCCUAUUUAAUAAAGGUAUAAAAUCUGAAACUUAUUUUCACUUUGGUCCCUCAACUAUAAAGAUAUUCACAUAGAUCCAAAUUAACUAUAGAGAUAACCAAUUAACUUGUAUAAGGACUUAACUAAACAUUGCAUUCCUAUUAAAUAAAUUAAUGCUAAGUAAAAAUUUGGGAUUUUAC
rnacentral:lncRNA from 1 species